rnacentral:rRNA from 1 species
AGUCUAUAGAGAUUAUUGUAGAUGUAUUCUGCCCACUGUGAUUCAUCAAGGGCCGCAGAACUUUAACUGUGCUAAGGUAGCGUAAUAGUUUGUCUUUUAAAUGGAGAAUAGUAUGAAAGGAAAGACGUGGCUUAGCUGUCUCAAAGUAAUUUCUUAGAAUUUAAUUAGUAGGUGAAAAUUCCUACUUGAAGAAAAAAGACGAGAAGACCCUGAGAGUUUUAACUAAUGGGUUUAUUAAACCUAGAGUUUUUGUUGGGGCAACAAAGGAACAAGCAAUUUCCUUUAUUUACCUAUCCCUCCUAGGAUUAUGAUCAAACUACCUCAGGGAUAACAGCAUUAUUUUUUAUAAAGCUUGUGACCUCGAUGUUGGACUAGGAAAAGAUAGGUUCAGAAGACUUUUCUUUAGGCUCUGUUCGAGCGACUUCUCCU